CAAAUGUGUACAUAAUAUCUUGGAAUCAUUUUCUAAUGAAUCAGUUAAUUAAACAUUUUAAUGCUAAGACAAUGUUGUUUUGUUUUCAUUACAUUAGGUAGUAGAUACAUAAUGAAUGCUCUGAUGAUGAUGAAGGUGUUAAAGAUCCCAUGCCACACCCAUUUCAUAAUUUUUUUUAUAAUCCUUGAUGUCCUUUGAUCGAGUUUGUAACCUUGUUUGUGUUGGAAAUGCCUUGGAUAGCUUAUUUCAAGCUAUUCUAGCAUGUCUGAAAAGCCUGGUAGAAAAGACGACUGCUUUUCUCAUGAAUAUCCAUGUAUUUAUGAGCGUUGCUCUGAUUGGACCGCUGUUUUCAUGAAUAUUCAAUAUUUAAAUUUCGCUUUGCUCUGAUCGGACGACAAAGCAGCUGUCCAUAUGCUUACCGAGGCACAGCAAGCCUUAAACGAUGGCAGGAAUUUUGCCCUACGUGUUUGAUCCAGAGUCGGAAGAUGAGACUGAAGGAGAAGACCAAGAACAACCACAAACACGUACAAUGAUGGACGUUUCAGAAUGGUGUACCUGUGGGAAUUGCUCUACAAUGCAGAUAGAGGUGGAGAAUGUAUGCUGCAGGGAGACAGGUGCAACGAUGGGUGAUACGGAUUUCAUUUUGGUUAUACACUGUCAGUAAAAUCAGAUUAUAUUAAUCAAACAUAUCUGAUUGCACAGGUUGUAAGAAUAAUGGAAGACGGGAAUCCACCAGUAUUAUGCAUGACCCUCCACCCAGGACUAGAUCCAGUUUGUCUCAAUAGAUAUUCCCAGCAAAAUGCCCUGAACAUAUAUCGAUGUGAUUAUGGGAACUUGCAAGUUAGAGGUAAUGAGUAAGUGAGAUGAAAAAAUGUCUUCACUACGGCACAUCAGCAUAUUCAAACAUGUCUACCAAGCUCAUACACUAUUUUGAAUAGUGAAAAUCAAAGUGAUGGAGCUGUACCUACACAUAAUAACAAUACAAAUAAUGAUAAUUUUUUAUUCUAUUUACACGUGACAAAACAUAACUCACACACUAUAUACAGUUCAGCCUUGGCCAUAUAUACAUAAACAACAAUGUCCUCUGCUUUUUGACAGCCAUUGCAGGUACUUGGCCGACAGGUCAUUUGUCAGCUGGUGCUGGGGAUAUCUUGGCAGGAAGAUACGUGUUGUCAUCCCCUCUUGUGUGGUCCAAUACAUACGCAGGGAGUUCCCUGAUGUGGAAGGCCAAAAUGAUGGAUUUAAACCUCCUCCACUCUAAAGCGAGAUACAUAGGCCGCAAUAGCGUCUUCUAAGGGUGGACGUUCUUGUUGGGACGAUAGGGAACUGGGCACAGGAAUCUUCUGACUUUCCUCCAAGUAGGGCAGGGGGUUAGAAACUACCUCUUCAAAGAGGAGAUGCCUCAGGCUGAGGGUAUAGCCUAAAAUAAAUACAAUGUAGGUAAACUCUACAUGUAACAAUGUACAAUGUUUAUACAUCAAUAAAUAUUUUCUUACAACUUACA